UCAUGACUCAGAGGACAAAGCUCUCACCUGAUUCCAGAGCUGACGUCAUAAAGCAGCUAGGCAUUCAGGGCCAAGUCCCUGAGCUGUGCUCUGUAAGGCAAUUGGGCAUCACACCUGGCUGGUACUCAGGGUCCAACAGGAGGUCAGAGCUGAGGCUCUUGGAACAACUAGGAAAGAGGAAAUGGCUUACAGAACACCACGGUUUAGAUGGAUCUGGAUUUGGAGGUCCUCAUUGCCGGUGAGGAAGGCAGAAGGGUUUUAAAAAUUCCUGAUGGCCACUUCGCACUGCAGACAGCUUAAAUUAAAAUGUGAAGGAAGUCAAUGCGGUGAUGAUUCCUGUCCUUCCCCACCAAAAGAAUCUAAUGAGCGGAAAAGACAGAAACCCUGAACAACUGCAGCGCUCCAAGCAUGGACUAACCAGUGGGCGGCACUCUGGAAAUGACUAAUGUUGUACCUGCUCACUCACUAAGCACAACACCUCAGACAGGAAGGACGUUUUGCUGUUUGCAAACCAUCUCACACAAGUCAUUUAACUGAUCCUUACAGUGUCCUGGCAGAAAAUACAUGUCAUAUGUACAAGGGGCACCUUGACUGGCCAGGAUCAGACCAUGAUUUCACACAAUUCCAAGGAACUGAAGAGACCCGAAAAAGAUUGCAGCUUCUCCUUUGUUACCCAACAGCGGCAGAACCCCGAGUGGCCUGAGGGCCCCCUGGUUAGCCAGCACUGCCGAUUCUAAAGGAAAAGGCAAGGUGGAUGCUUAACUAUCGCCUUCAAUAACUCAUUCGCAGAGUAGAGAAACAAGAGCUACUUCUGAAGAUCGAGGUACCUCACAUGAUCCUUAAUAAAGAAUGUUUAAAGAAAAUGGAAUGAGUGACAAAAGGAGAGAAGACAGCAGCCACCUAAACUCUCACCCACCAAACCAAGCAUUGACUGUUCCAGCACACACAGGAUUGUGACAUGUCCUGUCUCUAGAAGCACAACAGUGAACAUGCUAGAAGUUUCUGGAACUCUAGAGAAGGACCCAGAACUCCCAAGAGUCAAGGCCUGGAAGCUUCUUUGGAACAAUCUUUAAAGUUUCUAGAUUAGAAAGCUUUCCAAAUAAAAGUGAAGUACUUGGAAGGAUGUAAAAGAAAGGCUGGCAAACACUGACCCGUGAAACCUAACAACUCAGGUGAGAGUGGAUGAAGACUGUCUGGAGAGGAACAGCUUUCUGCAAAGGUAGCUGUGACUUUUUCCAGAGUAGAUGGUAAAC